AGUUGAUGGUGGAGCCGUCCAGUAAGGAGGACGCCCAGCGGUUGUGGCAGAUGGAGAGAGAGCGUAUGCAGGAGACGAUGAGACAACAGAAACAACAGAUGAUGGAGGACAACAAGUGGCUGACCAAGGAGGAGAGACUCCUGUUACCAGAACCAGAGACUGGACAUGCCCCGCCAGACAAGCCCCCGCAUCUCACCGGCCCUAAAGCCCAGGCCGCCCC